AUGGAGCACGCCAAGGAGAAGAUGAAGGACGGCGCGAGCGCGGCCAAGGCGAAGUCGACCAUCACCAAGGCCAAGGUGGCGGAGAAGGCCGAGGCGGCGACGGCGAGGUCGCACGACGAGCGGGAGCUGGCGCACGAGCGCGGCGCCGCCAAGGUCGCCGCCGCCGAGGCGCAGCUGCACCAGGACAAGGCCGCGCACCGCGAGGACGCCAUGUCGCACCACAUCCACAAGCACGGCGGCCACAAGCACGGCCACUGA
rnacentral:rRNA from 1 species